rnacentral:rRNA from 1 species
AGAGUGAACGCUGGCGGUAGGCCUAACACAUGCAAGUCGAACGGCAGCACAGUAGGAGCUUGCUCUUACGGGUGGCGAGUGGCGGACGGGUGAGGAAUACAUCGGAAUCUACCUUUUGGUGGGGGAUAACGUAGGGAAACUUACGCUAAUACCGCAUACGCCCUUCGGGGGAAAGCCGGGGACCAGCAAUGGCCUGGCGCUGAUAGAUGAGCCGAUGUCGGAUUAGCUAGUUGGUGAGGUAAUGGCUCACCAAGGCGACGAUCCGUAGCUGGUCUGAGAGGAUGAUCAGCCACACUGGAACUGACGACACGGUCCAGACUCCGUACGGGAGCAGCA